rfam:Gossypium arboreum cultivar AKA8401 contig_8555_15, whole genome shotgun sequence.
AACCCAUGGCGAGGGCACCUGCUCAAAAGGUCCUUGUAUCUCUCACAUGUAUCGUAGAGUGUUUCUAAAUCCAUUUGCACAAAAGAAGAGAUAUCAUUACGUAAUUU